UACGUAGGGGGCUAGCGUUGUCCGGAUUUAUUGGGCGUAAAGAGCGUGUAGGCGGCCUGGUAGGUCUGCUGUGAAAACUCGAGGCUCAACCUCGAGAUGUCGGCGGAAACCAUCUGGCUAGAGUCCGGAAGAGGAGAGUGGAAUUCCUGGUGUAGCGGUGAAAUGCGCAGAUAUCAGGAAGAACACCUAUGGCGAAGGCAGCUCUCUGGGACGGUACUGACGCUGAGACGCGAAAGCGUGGGGAGCGAUCCGG
rnacentral:rRNA from 1 species